UGCUUUAUAGGUAUUGCCUCUAAACUUCUGGGGAGGGAAGGAGGGCCAGAACUUCCUUUUAAACUUGUAAUUAAUUGUUUGCAGAGAAAAAAAAAAAAAAAAAAAAAAAGCAGAGCCCUUUGAAACGUUUCCACUUUAAACCCGAGUGGAAUGCGCCGCAGAGGCUCUCGCUGCUCGUUCCUGGGAAGUGCCCAGCCGGGGACCUGCGGCCACCCUGGGCAAGCCCGGAGCAGCGGCUGAGCAUCCCCUGCGAGGGGAAGGCAGAGGUACCUGCCACCGCCCCGAGCCAGCAGCCCCGAAAUCCCAGGGCCACCUUUCAGCACGGCUACGCAGCUGGUUUUCAAAUGUCUUCUUUUUUUUUUUUUUUUUUAUUUUGGAGAUGAAGGGAUGUUUGUGCGCUAAAUAAAGGGGUUCUUCAGUUUAACAUUAAAAAAAAACAAAAAAAAAAGCGUGGGGGAGGGGAAAGUAAAAAACCGGUGCCUUUUGAGCCGGUAACGCCAAGGGCAGAGAGGUCACCCACGGCCACCCAUCACCAGCUGAAAGCCUGCGUGCGAAGCAAGGAGCUGCAUUUAGGAAAAAUCUGUGCCGGGUUCCACCACGGGUGAGAAACUGGAUGCCCAGCGCCUGCAGAGCUGCGGCUGGGAGGUUGGCUGGUUUUUUGAGUCAAGGUAUGGGACCGAAAAAUGGGGCCGGGGAGGCACUGGGAGACAGGGCAGCGUCUCAGGGAGGGCUGCUAAACGCCCUGCUAAAUAAGCUCUUUGUUUUUGGGUAGCCAGUGCUGGCAGUGAGUCAGGGCAAAGCUGACAGGGUAACUUGCUCGGGAGGUCCUGCGGGCGGGGAUGGAUGGCAGCUCUGCACGGCUGGGGUUUGCGUGGCUUGUGUAAGGUUUAGUCGAAGCUGGGCGUCCAACAUGAGGUUCUUUAAUCCACGGUGACCCCGAAGGAGCCGGUUUUUUGCAAGGGUGGGGAGCAUCUGCCACUCCUCCGGAGUUAUGGGCGGCCGUGGGUGGAAAACAAGCUCCUUUUGAGGGCCGGCUUGGGAUGGCACCGCAAACCAUCGGCGCGCACGGCAGGCCUGGCUGAGCUGGAGGGGUGAAGUCUGCCAGCCUGAGCACGGGGAAAUCAAAACAGGGGUUGCCUUGGCAAUGCUGGCUUGCCCACAUCCUGUGUGUCGGCAGAGCAAGCGUCGAGGCUGGGGAUGGAGGUAGAGUUUGCAGAAAAGUUGCAGUUUGCUGGAAAUAGGGGGCAAAGGGCUGGAAACCGCUACGCGGGGUCACCGUGGCAGAGGGGAGGGAGCUGGAGAUAUUUUAGGAGCUGGUUUUGCAAGGGAAGUCCUUUCGGCUCAGCCCUCAACAGGCUCUCACGUCUGCAUGAAGGUCCCUCCAGCCUUGCAAAGCCCAACCCGCUGCACCCAGGCUCAGGCGGGAGCGGGGCCGCUCUUAAGGUGCUUCUCCCUGCACCCACGUUGAGAGCAGGGGCAGCCCCAGAGGACGACCGACCUACAGCCCAUGACCUGGGGGGGUUUGUUUGGCCCCAGAGGACUUGUAGGUUACUGGAACCCGCCUGCGCUCGGUGUCCAGCAGCAACUGGGGACUGGCAGAGGGGACGGGGAAACGUCCGACCUGCAGCCCCCCCCAUUUCCUUAAUGCGGGCGAGACCUCACUUCUGGGGAGACCUCGCUUCAUGCGGUUAAUGCUCAGUGGUGCGAAGCAGGAAUCACAACAUUAAAUUCGACCGUUUCCUUCUGUUACUGGUUUUAUACCAGCUGCAUACCCCCCUUCCGCUGGCAGUGACAGCUACGGGUGUGGCUAACUUCUCUCUCAGCCUCCGAGUUCUCUGAUACAACUAGCAGAGACACAGCUACGCACGCACGCACAUCUAUUUUUCCCGUUUGCACCUGCAGACUUGAAGGAAAACUGGAUGAAACCUGACACUGAGGGUGAGCGGUUUCCUUAGCUGGGAUUGCGCGUUGCUGUUUUGGAAAUGGUGAAUAAGAAGAGUUUUGCCGCCGGUCUCCCUGAACUCGUAGCAGGCUCUAGAGACCUUCCUCAAACGUUAAAAAACAAAUACAAAAAGCGACCACCCAGCAAACAAAACCAACCAAAGCUUCAUCUUAUUCCCACCGCCAUCAAGCAUUCCGGCCAGAAGCUGCGUGUAGAUGCUUUCAUCCCCUAAAGGGAGCGGUUUGGAAAACUACUGAUAUGAAUGUUGGAUAACCGGGUUAAAGUGAAACUAUUUUGCAAGCUGCUGCCUGGAACCCGCUCCGUCAUCGCCAUCUGCACACGGACGGCUGCCACCCGCCCCGGCAUCGGUGCAACUCCUGCCCAAAACACCACUUUUGCUUUUAGGAAAGCACCGCUGUCACCCCUGACAGCACCGGGAGCUCCCCUGAGUCUCCCCUAAAUGCUGGAUGGAGAUCCCUGGGCUUUGCACCACAGUCGUGGCUCACCCCGUCCUGCUUCGCACCAGCCCGGCUCUCCCCCCUCGCUGAGCUGCAGCAGUUCCCUUGUUUGCAGCAUCCUCUUCCCAACAGUGGUCCACAGGAGAUACUUUGAGAGAAUCUAAACACCAUUUGAUGUUUGACCCUGUGGAUGUCUCCUGCAGUGAGGAAUUCCACGGCUCCUUCACAUGAGAAAGUUGACUGGGCGAGAGGAAGCCGUGACUCAGCCGCUGGUGAAUCACUGCUGCUCCAGAUGACGCCUCUCCCUGCUCGCUGGUGCCCCUCGAGCACAGGAACCAGUAAGCCCACGCCAGACAAGCUCCUGUCACAUCAUGGGAUGUCAGUCUGAGCCCAGGCCUGGGACCAGCUGGAAAUCAAAUCCCACCUCCAGCCUCUGUUUUCCACCCUUCAUUCCCAAAGUCCUUACUUCCACGUGAGAUCAGAGCCUUUCCCAUGCCAAAAAGGUCCCCUGAUAACUUUUAAUUUCCUCCAAGGUCCACUCAACCCCUAAUUUCAUUUGGAAAACAUUACUAAUUUUACACUGCAAAUAGAAACACCCCCUUCUUUCCCCCUCUGGUUUCAUUGGAUUCAACUAAUUUAUUUACCAGUUUGCCCCAUUACACAGCUGGGAGCUUCAUGCCUGCCUUGGUACCGCCCAGCUGACAUCCAGGGUCAGUAUGUUUGGGUUUUUCUCCCCGGUGGGAUGGGAGGAGAUGCAAAGUGACUGCAGACACACUCACACCUUUCCUCCCAGCUGCUUGCUCUGCUCUCCAGCUGCGAUUUCUGUUUGCAGAUGCUAGCCCAGCUUAACAUAAGCAAUGGAAAACUCUGCUCCCGGAGAAACAUUCCUCUCAUUUUUCCCCCAUGCUUCUGCCUUUUCCCCUCCCUCUCCCCCUCCCACAAAAAAAAAAAAAAAACAAAAAAAAAAAACGCCUGCAGUUUAAACACCAAAAAUAAAGCACGGCUGGUCGUGGGCUGGAUAAAAAUAG